AUUUAUACAUCAUCAGCAUUCAUCACAAUGCCCAACACAGAGCAGGUACUCUGUAAAUACCAGCUGAAUCAAUGCAUCAUUCUGCUUUCAGGUCUCCACCAGUCCCUGCAAUCAUGGAGUUGUAAUACCAGUUUGUUCCUGGGAGCAUGACUAUGAAGCAUUUCUAACUCUUUCAUUUUCUGGAUUGUACAUCUUGGAAGAUAAAAUCAUGUCGUUGCACUUUACUUUGUAGAAGAUGGGUUAGUGGUAGAGAAUUAAAUGCAAAGAUUGGAAGUCAUCACUGUCAAGCCUGAAAUCAACCAGAAUGGAAAUAGGUAUUGGAUCUGAACGAUCAAGAUUCUUCUUAAAGGGCACCCCAGAGUCGAGCACAAUGCCUGGCACCAGAGAUGCUGAAUAAACAUUUGUCAGCUGCCUGAUAAAACCCAGCAAUCCAGCAGGUCACAUGCUGAGGAGACUGAUUUCUGUUUAUGUCACUGACUAUGCAGAGCCAGAUCGAGUUGAACAAGCAGCAUGUCUGAAUAGAGUGUUGUAAACACACACACACUGAGAAUCUCACAGGAACCCUGUAAAUGUGAGCACGUCAGCAGGGAGACAUCCAAGUUUUGAGAAAACACCAAACGGCGGAUGACUGCAGGAAGGCCUGAAGGCCCCAGGACCCUGGAAUGAGAUGCUACAGCGG